rnacentral:pre_miRNA from 1 species
UCAUAUGGAUGAAAAAAGAAAGUAGUUUCAUGAAAUGGAAUCUACUCCUGGUCAGGAUGCUAUGAA